rnacentral:rRNA from 1 species
UACGAAGGUGGCAAGCGUUGUUCGGAUUUACUGGGCGUACAGGGAGCGUAGGCGGUUGGGUAAGCCCUCAGUGAAAUCUCCGGGCCUAACCCGGAAAGUGCGGAGGGGACUGCUCGGCUAGAGGAUGGGAGAGGAGCGCGGAAUUCCCGGUGUAGCGGUGAAAUGCGUAGAGAUCGGGAGGAAGGCCGGUGGCGAAGGCGGCGCUCUGGAACAUUUCUGACGCUGAGGUGCGAAAGCGUGGGGAGCAAACAGG